CUGCGUGCUUCUAUAAAGCUGGCGGAAAACGUAACAUGAAAAGUUAUCUGAAAUAAUAAGCCGAAAGGGAGCAGAUUUCAGACGAAUCUCGGGCUUGGCAAAACCUCUUGUGGAAUGUAAAACAGAGGCCCUUCUUUGUGGAAGCUGUGUAUCCCAGAAAGACAACAGUACCAAGCAUGCCUGUGAUGGGGAGUUUCAAGCACUUAAGUCUGUAUAAGACAAGCAGCAAAGAAGAUUAAAGUGUAGAGACUUGAAAAGAGAACAGCUGCACCUGUUGGAGCAAAGUUCAGGAACAGAAGAUGUCACAGGAAUCCCAUUCACUUUUUGUCUGGGAUAAAAAAUGUUGAAAGGAGACAUUUAAACCCUUGGAAACUUAAAAAGAAUGUAAUGGAAGUCCAUGUGCUCAUUUUGAAUGCAACAAUUUUUAUAGCUUUUUAAUUUGUUUUGUUUUCUCAGGAACUUGGAAAAGCUAACAUCAUGGUAGAAUUGAUGAAUUAAAAGCAAAUUAUGGCUAAUGUGAAAU